GAUGAACGCUGGCGGCGUGCCUAAUACAUGCAAGUCGAGCGAACAGACGAGGAGCUUGCUCCUCUGACGUUAGCGGCGGACGGGUGAGUAACACGUGGAUAACCUACCUAUAAGACUGGGAUAACUUCGGGAAACCGGAGCUAAUACCGGAUAAUAUAUUGAACCGCAUGGUUCAAUAGUGAAAGACGGUUUUGCUGUCACUUAUAGAUGGAUCCGCGCCGCAUUAGCUAGUUGGUAAGGUAACGGCUUACCAAGGCAACGAUGGGUAGCCGACCUGAGAGGGAGAUCGGCCACACGGGAACUGAGACACGGUCCAGACUCCUACGGGAGGAAGCAGUAGGGAAUCUUCCGCAAGGGGCGAAAGCCUGACGGAGCAACGCCGCGUGAGUGAUGAAGGUCUUCGGAUCGUAAAACUCUGUUAUUAGGGAAGAACAAAUGUGUAAGUAACUAUGCACGUCUUGACGGUACCUAAUCAGAAAGCCACGGCUAACUACGUG
rnacentral:rRNA from 1 species